UGGAUAGCUCAGUCAGUAGAGCAUGAGACUGUUAAUCUCAGAGUCCUGGGUUUGAGCCCCACGUUGGGCAA